CCUACGGGUGGCAGCAGUGGGGAAUAUUGGACAAUGGGCGAAAGCCUGAUCCAGCCAUGCCGCGUGUGUGAAGAAGGCCUUCGGGUUGUAAAGCACUUUCAGUGGGGAAGAAAGCCUUGGGGCUAAUACCCUCGAGGAAGGACAUCACCCACAGAAGAAGCACCGGCUAACUCCGUGCCAGCAGCCGCGGUAAUACGGAGGGUGCGAGCGUUAAUCGGAAUUACUGGGCGUAAAGCGCGCGUAGGCGGUCUGAUAAGCCGGUUGUGAAAGCCCCGGGCUCAACCUAGGAACGGCAUCCGGAACUGUCAGGCUAGAGUGCAGGAGAGGAAGGUAGAAUUCCCGGUGUAGCGGUGAAAUGCGUAGAGAUCGGGAGGAAUACCAGUGGCGAAGGCGGCCUUCUGGACUGACACUGACGCUGAGGUGCGAAAGCGUGGGUAGCAAACAGGAUUAGAUACCCCAGUAGUC
rnacentral:rRNA from 1 species